rnacentral:rRNA from 1 species
GACAGAGGGUGCAAACGUUGUUCGGAAUUACUGGGCAUAAAGCGCACGUAGGUGGUCCGCUAAGUCGCGUGUGAAAGCCCCCGGCUCAACUGGGGAGGGUCACGCGAUACUGAUCGACUCGAAGGCAGGAGAGGGAAGUGGAAUUCCCGGUGUAGUGGUGAAAUGCGUAGAUAUCGGGAGGAACACCAGUGGCGAAGGCGACUUCCUGGCCUGUUCUUGACGCUGAGGCGCGAAAGCCAGGGAGCAACGGG